ensembl:snoRNA
GACACCCUGCUCCUAGAGGCGUUGCAGGUGUGGCUGCUGUGUCACAUGUGCGUCAGUAGGUGGCAGAGAGAAAAGAGGCUAUGUCUACGCUCAGUGUUCUGCCCUGUGAACGUCUGAAUGAUUUGUAGCCUGACAACA